rnacentral:rRNA from 1 species
AGUCGAACGGCAGCACGGGGGCAACCCUGGUGGCGAGUGGCGAACGGGUGAGUAAUACAUCGGAACGUGUCCUGUAGUGGGGGAUAGCCCGGCGAAAGCCGGAUUAAUACCGCAUACGCUCUACGGAGGAAAGGGGGGGAUCUCAGGACCUCCCGCUACAGGGGCGGCCGAUGGCAGAUUAGCUAGUUGGUGGGGUAAAGGCCUACCAAGGCGACGAUCUGUAGCUGGUCUGAGAGGACGACCAGCCACACUGGGACUGAGACACGGCCCAGACUCCUACGGGAGGCAGCAGUGGGGAAUUUUGGACAAUGGGCGAAAGCCUGAUCCAGCAAUGCCGCGUGUGUGAAGAAGGCCUUCGGGUUGUAAAGCACUUUUGUCCGGAAAGAAAACCUCCGCCCUAAUAUGGUGGGGGGAUGACGGUACCGGAAGAAUAAGCACCGGCUAACUACGUGCCAGCAGCCGCGGUAAUACGUAGGGUGCAAGCGUUAAUCGGAAUUACUGGGCGUAAAGCGUGCGCAGGCGGUCCGCUAAGACAGAUGUGAAAUCCCCGGGCUUAACCUGGGAACUGCAUUUGUGACUGGCGGGCUAGAGUAUGGCAGAGGGGGGUAGAAUUCCACGUGUAGCAGUGAAAUGCGUAGAGAUGUGGAGGAAUACCGAUGGCGAAGGCAGCCCCCUGGGCCAAUACUGACGCUCAUGCACGAAAGCGUGGGGAGCAAACAGGAUUAGAUACCCUGGUAGUCCACGCCCUAAACGAUGUCAACUAGUUGUUGGGGAUUCAUUUCCUUAGUAACGUAGCUAACGCGUGAAGUUGACCGCCUGGGGAGUACGGUCGCAAGAUUAAAACUCAAAGGAAUUGACGGGGACCCGCACAAGCGGUGGAUGAUGUGGAUUAAUUCGAUGCAACGCGAAAAACCUUACCUACCCUUGACAUGUAUGGAAUCCUGCUGAGAGGUGGGAGUGCCCGAAAGGGAGCCAUAACACAGGUGCUGCAUGGCUGUCGUCAGCUC